rnacentral:misc_RNA from 1 species
GAUGAAGAACGUAGCGAAAUGCGAUAAGUAAUGUGAAUUGCAGAAUUCAGUGAAUCAUCCAAUCUUUGAACGCACAUUGCGCCCAUUAGUAUUCUAGUGGGCAUGCCUGUUCGAGCGUCAUUAAGUCCACUUAAGCCCUGCUUAGUGUUGGGAGACUGCUCCAGCGGUGCUACCCUGUAGCUACCCUGCAGCUCCUCAAAGACAGCGGCGGAGUUGUGGUAUCCUCUGAGCUUAGUAACUUGUUCUAGCUUUCGAGUACACCACUUCCCCUGCCGUAAAACCCUUAAUUUUUAAUGGUUGACCUCGGAUCAGGUAGGAAUACCCGCUGAACUUAAGCAUAUCAAUAAGCGGAGGA